GGGGGUAUAGCUCAGCUGGGAGAGCAGCAGACUGAAGUUAAAUGUAGAUUUUGGUUCUGAAGGUCCCGCGUUCGAUCCGCGGUACCCCCA
rnacentral:tRNA from 1 species